GACGAACGCUGGCGGCGUGCCUAAUACAUGCAAGUCGAGCGCAGGAAACUGACGGAACUCUUCGGAGGGAAGGCAGUGGAAUGAGCGGCGGACGGGUGAGUAACACGUAAGGAACCUGCCUCAAGGAUUGGGAUAACUCCGAGAAAUCGGAGCUAAUACCGGAUAGUUCAUCGGACCGCAUGGUCCGUUGAUGAAAGGCGCUUCGGCGUCACCUUGAGAUGGCCUUGCGGUGCAUUAGCUAGUUGGUGGGGUAACGGCCCACCAAGGCGACGAUGCAUAGCCGACCUGAGAGGGUGAUCGGCCACACUGGGACUGAGACACGGCCCAGACUCCUACGGGAGGCAGCAGUAGGGAAUCUUCCACAAUGGACGAAAGCCUGAUGGAGCAACGCCGCGUGAGUGAUGAAGGUUUUCGGAUCGUAAAACUCUGUUGUAAGGGAAGAACACGUACGAGAGGGAAUGCUCGUACCUUGACGGUACCUUACGAGAAAGCCACGGCUAACUACGUGCCAGCCGCCGCCGUAACAC
rnacentral:rRNA from 1 species